rnacentral:misc_RNA from 1 species
GAUGAAGAACGUAGCGAAAUGCGAUAAGUAUUGUGAAUUGCAGAAUUCAGUGAAUCAUCGAAUCUUUGAACGCACAUUGCGCCCCUUGGUAUUCCGGGGGGCAUGCCUGUUCGAGCGUCAUUAUAACCCCUCAAGCUCAGCUUGGUGUUGGGGCCUGCCAACUGGCAGCCCUUAAAAUCAGUGGCGGCGCCAUCUGGCUCUAAGCGUAGUAAUUUCUCUCGCUAUAGGGUCCCGGUGGAUGCUGGCCAGCAACCCCCAAUUUUCUAUGGUUGACCUCGGAUCAGGUAGGGAUACCCGCUGAACUUAAGCAUAUCAAUAAGCGGAGGA